AGCUUAGGUUGUUCGGCGUAUACCGCAACGUCCUGUUGCAUCGCCGAACUGAAUUACAUCCUGUAAU
rnacentral:sRNA from 1 species